GGAUCCGUAGCGAAAGCGAGUUUUAAUAGGGCGACUAGUCGCUAGGAGUAGACCCGAAACCGGCGCGAUCUAUCCAUGGCCAGGUUGAAGAUUAGGUAGUACUAAUUGGAGGACCGAACCCAAUACUGUUGCAAAAGUAUGGGAUGAGCUGUGGAUCGGAGUGAAAGGCUAAUCAAGCACGGAGAUAGCUGGUUCUCCCCGAAAACUAUUUAGGUAGUGCCUCGUGUAUAACUCAUUGGGGUAAAGCACUGUUUCGACAAUGGGGGUUUUACGACCUUACUGACUCGAUGCAAACUCAGAAUACGAUGAAGUUCGAUCACGGGAGACACACUGCGGGUGCUAAGGUCCGCAGUGGAAAGGGAAACAGCCCAGACCGCCAACUAAGGUCCCAAAGUCAUAGCUAAGUGGGAAACGAAGUGGGAAGGCCCAGACAGCCAGGAGGUUGGCUUAGAAGCAGCCACCCUUUAAAGAAAGCGUAAUAGCUCACUGGUCGAGUCGGCCUGCACGUAAGAUUUAACGGGGCUAAGCUAUGCACUGAAGUUGCGGAAUAUAUUUAGUAUAUUGGUAGGGGAGCGUUCUGUAAGCCGAUGAAGGUGAAUUGAGAAGUUUGCUGGAGGUAUCAGAAGUGCGAAUGCUGACAUGAGUAACGUAAAAUAAGUGAGAUUCUUAUUGGCCGAAAACCCAAGGGUUCCUACGCAAUGUUAAUCAACGUA
rnacentral:rRNA from 1 species